UACGAAGGGGGCUAGCGUUGCUCGGAAUCACUGGGCGUAAAGGGUGCGUAGGCGGGUUUUUAAGUCAGAGGUGAAAUCCUGGAGCUCAACUCCAGAACUGCCUUUGAUACUGAAGAUCUUGAGUCCGGAAGAGGUGAGUGGAACUGCGAGUGUAGAGGUGAAAUUCGUAGAUAUUCGCAAGAACACCAGUGGCGAAGGCGGCCAACUGGUCCGAUACUGACGCUGAGGCGCGAAAGCGUGGGGAGCAAACAGGG
rnacentral:rRNA from 1 species